rnacentral:rRNA from 1 species
AUUGAACGCUGGCGGCAUGCCUAACACAUGCAAGUCGAACGCGAAAGAGGGGCAACUCUCGAGUAGAGUGGCGGACGGGUGAGUAAUACGUAGGAAUCUGCCCUAGAGUGGGGGAUAACCUGUCGAAAGACGGGCUAAUACCGCAUAAUCUCUAUGGAGCAAAGGUGUCUUGUAGCAAUACAAGGUUUUGCUCUAGGAUGAGCCUACGUCGGAUUAGCUAGGUGGUAGGGUAAUGGCCUACCACGGCAACGAUCCGUAGCUGGUCUGAGGGGACAACCCGCCACACGGGAACGGAGACACGGUCCAGACUCCUACGGGAGGCAGCAGUGGGGAAUAUUGGACAAUGGGGGAAACCCUGAUCCAGCAAUGCCGCGUGUGCGAUGAAGGCCUGCGGGUUGUAAAGCACUUUCGGUGGGGAAGAAUACUCAAAGAUAAUACCUUUGAGUGCUGACGUUACCCAUAGAAGAAGCACCGGCAAACUCUGUGCCAGCCGCCGCCGUAA